GGAGAGGUGGCCGAGCGGCCGAAGGCGCACGAUUGGAAGUCGUGUUUGGGGCAACCCAACGUGGGUUCAAAUCCCACCCUCUCCGCCA
rnacentral:tRNA from 1 species